AAGCUAUGUCUAGAGAGCCCUGAAUAGUGGAAGCCAAUUGUUGUUUAACUUCAAAGAUCUUCGUACCAUCAACUGACCCAUACCUACUGUUAAGUUGAACCCAUAUACUAUGAGCAGUGUCAGAAUAUUGAACACUCUCUGCUAUUUCAGGGGUAAGAGAAUUGGUCAACCAAGAGAUGACCAUAUUAUUACAUCUGUCCCACUGUCUAAAUUGUAGGGAGUCUACAGUAGGUUUAGGUAUAGAACCAUCGAUAAAGCCUAUUUUGUUCCUAGCAGACAAGGAGACUAUGAUAUUCCUCCUCCAACCCCCAAAUCCAACCCCUGAAAAGGGAUUAGUAACCAAAGAAAUGC
rnacentral:lncRNA from 1 species